UGCUGUUCACUAUUUCCUUCUUCUGAAUUUGGAGUAUUCUGGACAAUACUUAAAUCUCGUAAUCUUCUUCUACGCAUUUUUCCUGCAAUACACAUAAAAUAGUUAAAGUUUUAGUAACAAAUUACGACAAUAAUAGUACAUAUAAAAUAGUUAAAUUAUAUAACUUGACCAAGAUUAAAAUUAUAAUAUUACAUAUAAUUAAAAAAUCAUAAAAUCUUACUACAUCAUUAUUCAUAAAUAUCUUCAUCCACAUCAUGUCGAACCCAUUGAUGUUGUGUACUAGUACUAGGGAUAUUUUCAUCUAAGUUUUGUUCUGGAAAAGGUAAUGUUUCUGAUCUUUC
rnacentral:lncRNA from 1 species